GCCCAGAUGAUCCUCAGUGGUCUGGGGUGCAGAUUUCAGACCUGUAGCUGUUUAGCAACAGAGUGAUUCAAUUCCAUUUUCUGGGUG
rnacentral:tRNA from 1 species